UUAUCUUGAAUAAAUGAUGAAGAUAUUACAAGUUUCUUGCAAUGUAGCUUCAAUUAAGCUUUCUCAAACAUGCAAACUCCCUUGCACCCUAGCUCCAGUAAAACCUUAAAAUCAAACAUCAUUCUUAAUCACAAAUCACACCACAAAGAUUUCUUGUGGAAGCUAAACUCUUUUCAAAGCUUCACAUAACUCAAACUUUACAAAUCAAGUUCUCCUUUCUUCUUUAACCAUUCUUGAGUUCCUUGAGAAAAUGUGGUCCUUUGGGAGAGAAAAUUUGUCACGACCCGGUACUCCCCUCGAGCCCGUGACAACUGUCGCGGUGUCCUGAUCGAUACUCAUUACCCGGAAUGUCAUCCGGAACCCCGCAAGGCUUUAAUAUUAGUUUCUCAUUUCCCCUAUGAGUAACCGUUGCCAAAUAUCAUGUUCUAAAAGAUUUUAAGCUAUUUUCAACUUAAAUCAAUAAAAAAAAUGAUUUCUGUCUCACAAUGGCAUUUUGGUCAUUUUCUUUUCAAAAAUUUCGAAACUAGCUAAAAAUGUAUUAUGCGAGUAUAAAACACAUAAUUCAUAAUCAAAAAUAAGUUUAAACGUCUAAAACAUUCAUUUAAAAUGAAAUUAUAACUAUUUGAAUAUAAUAAAAAUAUUUAAUAAAAUAUUCUAUUUUCUUAUAAAACAAUAUUUACAGAGUUACCGGUAAAUAAUUUUUGUAGCGUAAAAGCUAAAUAAAUUCAUACAUACUAUAAUACAGAUAACCAAAGUAUAAAAUUUAAUUUACAAUGACAUGUGGGCCCACGAACGAUCAAAAGCGGUAAACCUACAGUUUUUGAGGAUGCAAAUUCAAUUGUAGCCCUCAACAAAGUGAGCUAUCUACCGACUAUCCUAAGCCUGAAAUGGGUGGAAAUGAGGGUGGUGAGAUUAUAUAAUCCCAGUGAGUAAACAAAUACCAUCUAAAAUAUCUAAAGUUGAGUAAAUGGAGACGGAUAAAAUAGAUUAGCAUAAAAAUGAUUCACAGCAUUUUGAACUCAUUUUAAUAAGAUAAAAUAGAUUAAUUUCACCAAAACAAACAACGAGGUUUAUGAUUUCUUGAAAAGUUUGGCUCGUGCCAAAAUCAUUCUCAUACUUAGUUAUUAGGGAUACCUUGACCGAGGGCUAUCCUAACCGAGUCCGCCAAGGUUGUUAAAAAGUUAUGUACACAUAAAUCAUGUUUUUAUUUUGAAAACAUAGCUGUUCCUUAGCGUUGGCUGAGUUCACCCUCACGUGGUGGUUUGGCUUGAAGUGAACUGUAAAGUUUUAACCUCAGGAGUUAUCCAACCGUGCCUCUCAUACUGAGGUAUGAAUAUAAUAGGGUUACUGUGCCCCUUUAAUAGGCUGGUCCACGGAGCCCGUCCACUGCAGCGACCAAUUUAUAACCCACUAAUUCAAUAAAAUUCAACAGCAUGACAUGGCAAUUUUUUUGUUUUAUAGCAUCUCAAGGCAAAUCAACAAUUCAUACUUUUUCAGCACAUUUACCAAAUCCAGCCACUGAUGCCAAUAUUAUCAUAAGCCAUUCAAUUCAAACCAUGAUUUAUAACACAACAAUUAGUCUCCAAUUACUCCAUUUUCAAAACCAUCUUUCAAUUUCAAGACAAUUUUAUUAAAUCAUUUCAUUUAAUCACAUUUUGUUUAUAAAACAUAAACAUUUACCAUUUAAACUCAUUUUUCAUAAAAUCACAAAAUCGGAUAAAAACCACUUUAGAUAAUUAAGAUGAUAGUAAGGUUACUCACUAUAAUGGAAAUCAAGUUCCGAGUACUCCGAUUCUUGAUCCUCGGGUACUAUCUCUUUACUUUUGCUAGAAUGCUCACCACCUAGACAUAAUGCACAAUAAGCCAUUUACUACAUUUGUGAUAAAUUGUUAUAAAACCAAUUUAGGCUCUAUACUAAUGCAUGAAAUGGGAUGUGAAAUUCUCGGGUAACUAUCUAAAUACGGUGUUCAAUAUAAAUUCAAUUAUGUACCUAAAUAAAAUGGUAUUGGCCUAAUUCGAUCUAUCACCCGAUUAAUUGGUCAAUCCAUCCAAUUCAACUCCAAAUAAUUUCAUUUUUCUCCCAAUACUCCAAAUCAUUAAACACAAAUUAAAGAACUUGAAAUAUGGCAAAAUCAUCCUCACAUUUUCUCUUGAAAAAUUCGGCCAUGGUGGGUGCAUCAACACUAUAAUUUUUCAAGCUUGAUUCUCACACCAUAAAUCACUAAUUUCUAACCAAAUCACUUGAAAUAAAAUCAAAAUCAUCAUCAAUAUUCUACAUGGAGAAUUCGGCCAAUGAUGGGUGAUGGGAGGAAGUGAAUUUUUCUUGUUGGCUUUUCAUGUUACACAUCACUAACUAACUAAAAACACUAGAAUAUCUUAAAAUCUAACCAAAACAACCAUCAAAAUCUCUCUCUAAGUGUUCAGCCAGCAAGAGACCCAUCAUGAUUUCAUGUGAUUCAACCAUGAAAAAUAAGAAAAAAUGCUUAAGAAAGAGAGAUCUCAAGCUUAAUUGAAAAAUCUUACCUUUUUUUCACUUGUUUCCUUGAAUUUUCACACUUUUCCCUUGAAUUUUUCCACCUAGGGUUUUGUUCUUCCUUUUCUUCCUUUGUUCUUGCUUUGGCC
rnacentral:lncRNA from 1 species